rnacentral:rRNA from 1 species
UACGAAGGGGGCUAGCGUUGCUCGGAUUUACUGGGCGUAAAGGGCGCGUAGGCGGACAGUUAAGUCAGGGGUGAAAUCCUGGAGCUCAACUCCAGAACUGCCUUUGAUACUGGCGAGCUUGAGUCCGGGAGAGGUGAGUGGAACUGCGAGUGUAGAGGUGAAAUUCGUAGAUAUUCGCAAGAACACCAGUGGCGAAGGCGGCUCACUGGCCCGGUACUGACGCUGAGGUGCGAAAGCGUGGGGAGCAAACAGG